CAGCCGCCACGGGAAUACGAAGGGGGCUAGCGUUGCUCGGAAUGACUGGGCGUAAAGGGCGCGCAGGCGGUUCGUUAAGACAGAUGUGAAAUCCCCGGGCUUAACCUGGGAACUGCAUUUGUGACUGGCGAGCUAGAGUAUGGCAGAGGGGGGUAGAAUUCCACGUGUAGCAGUGAAAUGCGUAGAGAUGUGGAGGAACACCGAUGGCGAAGGCAGCCCCCUGGGCCAAUACUGACGCUGAGGUGCGAAAGCGUGGGGAGCAAACAGGAUUAGAUACCCCUGUAGUCCCUGUCUCUUAUAC
rnacentral:rRNA from 1 species